rnacentral:rRNA from 1 species
CCUACGGGGGGCUGCAGUGGGGAAUAUUGGACAAUGGGCGAAAGCCUGAUCCAGCCAUGCCGCGUGUGUGAAGAAGGCCUUCGGGUUGUAAAGCACUUUCAGUGGGGAAGAAAGCCUUGGGGCUAAUACCCUCGAGGAAGGACAUCACCCACAGAAGAAGCACCGGCUAACUCCGUGCCAGCAGCCACGGUAAUACGGAGGGUGCGAGCGUUAAUCGGAAUUACUGGGCGUAAAGCGCGCGUAGGCGGUCUGAUAAGCCGGUUGUGAAAGCCCCGGGCUCAACCUGGGAACGGCAUCCGGAACUGUCAGGCUAGAGUGCAGGAGAGGAAGGUAGAAUUCCCGGUGUAGCGGUGAAAUGCGUAGAGAUCGGGAGGAAUACCAGUGGCGAAGGCGGCCUUCUGGACUGACACUGACGCUGAGGUGCGAAAGCGUGGGUAGCAAACAGGAUUAGAUACCCUAGUAGUC